CCGAGUGAGGGCUCACGCCCGACCUCCAACCCUUUGUCGAUUUCUAUCUGUUGCCUCGGGGGGCGACCCGGCCGUCCGCGCCCGGGAGUCCCCCAGAGGACCAAUCAACUCUGCAUCUUUGCGUCGAGUAUUGAAUAAUAAAUCAAUCA
rnacentral:misc_RNA from 1 species